rnacentral:rRNA from 1 species
UAGGAGGGGGUACAGCAACCGCGGCGACAAGGAGCGGGAGGGCAUGUAGUGACGGCGCGGAUCUCGGGGGUGGCUGCGCCGCCUACGCGACAUGUACCGGCUCCUCAGUUCGUCCACGUGGUGGAGGGACGAGUCCCGUCGUCCCUGACGUGGCGAACCAACAGGUGGACCUAGUCUAGCGUCGGCUAGACUAGGAGGUGGUGUACGUAGAGAGAAGCCUUGAGCGUGUCGUACACGUGGGCGUCCCUAGCGUACGGUCCGUCCUAGGAACACUGGUCGAAGGACCUCGCCAACAGAUCCGACUGUUCAGAAACCUCCUGGUAGAGCUGCGGGGAGCGCUACGGGUCCUACCUCCCUAGCUGGUGCAGACGAAGACCCUACCAAAGUCCGACGACGUCUAACAGACCCCACUGCCGCUCAAGUCAGCGCUCUUUGACAUUUAGUAUCAUGGAUGCCACGUUUUGAAGUACCUUCAGUAGUAGACUGUCGUCUAGAGAUCGUACCAGCCUAGGACUAGAAUUCUACUCGGAAGAUAACGAAAGUUGACGUGAGGUCCAUACGACUAUUAGCAUCUACGAAAGACGGCCGUCACUGUCAUCUUAAACGAAAUAAAAAAAGUCUCCCUCGACGACUCAACGUGCCUUGGAAGCACCAUACUCUAUAAAGUGUGUCAGUCCGGACUCUUACGAAAGGAACUUGCAGUAUAACCCUCUGUUUAAGUCAUAGCGACCCUACUGUUUGAACACCUCAUCGGAGUGGUACAGACAUUAUAAAGAUGGCCUCGUACGUUCGUGUAGAUACCUACUCGGUUUGAAGUAAGGGUCGAGGUGGAAAUGUACCUGUGGUAACUAGUGACAUAUUUAU